AUUGAACGCUGGCGGCAUGCCUUACACAUGCGAGUCGAACGGUAACGGGCCUUCGGGUGCCGACGAGUGGCGAACGGGUGAGUAAUGUAUCGGAACGUACCUUUCAGUGGGGGAUAACGUAGCGAAAGUUACGCUAAUACCGCACAUUCUGUGAGCAGGAAAGCAGGGGAUCGCAAGACCUUGCGCUGAUUGAGCGGCCGAUAUCAGAUUAGCUAGUUGGUGAGGUAAAGGCUCACCAAGGCGACGAUCUGUAGCGGGUCUGAGAGGAUGAUCCGCCACACUGGAACUGAGACACGGUCCAGACUCCUACGGGAGGCAGCAGUGGGGAAUUUUGGACAAUGGGGGCAACCCUGAUCCAGCCAUGCCGCGUGAGUGAAGAAGGCCUUCGGGUUGUAAAGCUCUUUCGGCCGGGAAGAAAUCGUAUCAGCUAAUACCUGGUGCGGAUGACGGUACCGGCAUAAGAAGCACCGGCUAACUACGUGCCAGCCGCCGCCGUAAAAC
rnacentral:rRNA from 1 species